AGAGUUUGAUCCUGGCUCAGAUUGAACGCUGGCGGCAUGCUUUACACAUGCAAGUCGAACGGCAGCACGGGUGCUUGCACCUGGUGGCGAGUGGCGAACGGGUGAGUAAUGCACCGGAACGUACCCAGUAAUGGGGGAUAACACAUCGAAAGAUGUGCUAAUACCGCAUACGCCCUGAGGGGGAAAGCGGGGGAUCGUAAGACCUCGCGUUAUUGGAGCGGCCGAUGCCGGAUUAGCUAGUUGGUGAGGUAAGAGCUCACCAAGGCGACGAUCCGUAGCUGGUCUGAGAGGACGACCAGCCACACUGGGACUGAGACAUGGCCCAGACACCUACGGGAGGCAGCAGUGGGGAAUUUUGGACAAUGGGCGCAAGCCUGAUCCAGCCAUGCCGCGUGAGUGAAGAAGGCCUUCGGGUUGUAAAGCUCUUUCGCAAGGAAAGAAAACUUAUCUACUAA
rnacentral:rRNA from 1 species